rnacentral:rRNA from 1 species
UACGUAGGGUGCGAGCGUUAAUCGGAAUUACUGGGCGUAAAGCGUGCGCAGGCGGUUCGUUGUGUCGGCGGUGAAAGCCCUGGGCUCAACCCAGGAAGUGCACUCGAAACUGCGAGGCUAGAGUACUGGAGAGGUUGGUGGAAUUCUCGGUGUAGAGGUGAAAUUCGUAGAUAUCGAGAGGAACACCGGUGGCGAAGGCGGCCAACUGGACAGAUACUGACGCUGAGACUCGAAAGCGUGGGGAGCAAACAGG